GUUUACCAUGCAAGUCGAACGGCAGCACGGGAGCUUGCUCCUGGUGGCGAGUGGCGAACGGGUGAGUAACAUAUCGGAACGUACCUAGUAAUGGGGGAUAACUAGUCGAAAGAUUGGCUAAUACCGCAUACGCCCUGAGGGGGAAAGCGGGGGAUCGUAAGACCUCGCGUUAUUAGAGCGGCCGAUAUCUGAUUAGCUAGUUGGUGGGGUAAAAGCCUACCAAGGCGACGAUCAGUAGCUGGUCUGAGAGGACGACCAGCCACACUGGAACUGAGACACGGUCCAGACUCCUACGGGAGGCAGCAGUGGGGAAUUUUGGACAAUGGGCGCAAGCCUGAUCCAGCCAUUCCGCGUGAGUGAAGAAGGCCUUCGGGUUGUAAAGCUCUUUCGCAAGGGAAGAAACGAUGCAGUCGAAUAAACUGCGUUAAUGACGGUACCUUGAUAAGAAGCACCGGCUAACUACGUGCCAGCAGCCGCGGUAAUACGUAGGGUGCGAGCGUUAAUCGGAAUUACUGGGCGUAAAGCGUGCGCAGGCGGUUUUGUAAGUCAGAUGUGAAAUCCCCGGGCUCAACCUGGGAACUGCGUUUGAAACUACAAGGCUAGAGUGUAGCAGAGGGGGGUAGAAUUCCACGUGUAGCAGUGAAAUGCGUAGAGAUGUGGAGGAAUACCAAUGGCGAAGCAGCCCCCUGGGUUAACACUGACGCUCAUGCACGAAAGCGUGGGGAGCAAACAGGAUUAGAUACCCUGUAGUCCACGCCGUAACGAUGUCAACUAGCCGUUGGGUUAUAAUGAACUUAGUGUGCAGCUAACGCAUUAAGUUGACCGCCUGGGGAG
rnacentral:rRNA from 1 species